rnacentral:rRNA from 1 species
GUGUCAGCAGCCGCGGUAAUACGUAGGGUGCGAGCGUUAAUCGGAAUUACUGGGCGUAAAGCGUGCGCAGGCGGUUACUUAAGUCAGGUGUGAAAGCCCUGGGCUUAACCUAGGAAUUGCGCUUGAGACUGGGUAGCUUUGAGUGUGGCAGAGGGAGGUGGAAUUCCACGUGUAGCAGUGAAAUGCGUAGAGAUGUGGAGGAACACCGAUGGCGAAGGCAGCCUCCUGGGCCAGCACUGACGCUCAUGCACGAAAGCGUGGGGAGCAAACAGGAUUAGAUACCCUUGUAGUCC